rnacentral:rRNA from 1 species
CGGAGGGAGCUAGCGUUGUUCGGAAUUACUGGGCGUAAAAGCGCGCGUAGGCGGUUUUUCAAGUCAGAGGUGAAGGCCCGGGGCUCAACCCCGGAACUGCCUUUGAAACUGGAUGACUAGAAUCUUGGAGAGGCGAGUGGAAUUCCGAGUGUAGAGGUGAAAUUCGUAGAUAUUCGGAAGAACACCCCGUGGCGAAGGCGACUCGCUGGACAAGUAUUGACGCUGAGGUGCGAAAGCGUGGGGGAGCAAACAGGAUU